rnacentral:rRNA from 1 species
UGCCAGACUCCUACGGGAGGCAGCAGUGGGGAAUAUUGCACAAUGGGGGGAACCCUGAUGCAGCGACGCCGCGUGGGUGAAGGAGCACCUCGGUGCGUAAAGCCCUAUCGGCAGGGAAGAAACAGACGGUACCUGACUAAGAAGCCCCGGCUAACUACGUGCCAGCAGACGCGGUAAUACGUAGGGGGCAAGCGUUAUCCGGAUUCACUGGGUGUAAAGGGAGCGUAGACGGCGACGCAAGUCUGGAGUGAAAGCCCGGGGCCCAACCCCGGGACUGCUCUGGAAACUGCGGCGCUGGGGUACGGGAGGGGCAGGCGGAAUUCCUGGUGUAGCGGUGAAAUGCGUAGAUAUCAGGAGGAACACCGGCGGCGAAGGCGGCCUGCUGGACCGUGACUGACGUUGAGGCUCGAAAGCGUGGGGAGCAAACAGGAUUAGAUACCCGGGUAAA